rnacentral:tRNA from 1 species
GCCUUAGCUCAGUUGGUAGAGCAACGGACUGAAAAUCCGUGUGUCCCUGGUUCGAUUCCUGGAGGC